CCUACGGGUGGCAGCAGUGAGGAAUAUUGGUCAAUGGUCGGGAGACUGAACCAGCCAAGCCGCGUGAGGGAGGAAGGUACAGAGUAUCGUAAACCUCUUUUGUCAGGGAACAAAGGCGGGGCCGUGUCCCCGGAUGAGUGUACCUGAAGAAAAAGCAUCGGCUAACUCCGUGCCAGCAGCCGCGGUAAUACGGAGGAUGCGAGCGUUAUCCGGAUUUAUUGGGUUUAAAGGGUGCGCAGGCGGGCUGUUAAGUCAGCGGGCAAAGCCCGGGGCUCACCCCCGGCCCGCCGUUGAAACUGGCAGUCUCGAGUUGGAGAGAAGUAUGCGGAAUGCGCGGUGUAGCGGUGAAAUGCAUAGAUAUCGCGCAGAACUCCGAUUGCGAAGGCAGCAUGCCGGCUCCACACUGACGCUGAGGCACGAAAGCGUGGGUAUCGAACAGGAUUAGAUACCCCAGUAGUC
rnacentral:rRNA from 1 species